rnacentral:SRP_RNA from 13 species
GCUGGGCAUGGUGGCGCGUGCCUGUAAUCCCAGCUACUCGGGAGGCUGAGGCAGGAGAAUUGCCUGAACCCAGGAGGCGGAGGUUGCGGUGAGCUGAGAUAGUGCCAUUGCACUCCAGCCUAGGUAACAAGAGCGAAACUCUGUGUCUUUUUUUUUUUUUUUUUUUUUUUUUUUUUUGAGACGGAGUUUCGCUCUUGUUACCCAGCUGGAGUGCAGUGGUGCGAUCUCGGCUCACUGCAACCUCCGCCUCCUGGGUUCAGGCAAUUCUCCUGCCUCAG